rnacentral:snRNA from 1 species
UUACUUUGGUGGUACCUAUACUAUAACUGGAACAAUACAGAGAAGACUCACAUGGCUCCUGCACAAGGAUGACACAAAUUCAUGAAAUGUUCCACGUUUCU